UACGUAGGGUGCGAGCGUUGUCCGGAAUUAUUGGGCGUAAAGAGCGUGUAGGCGGUCCGAUAAGUCCGCUCUGAAAGCCCGGGGGCUCAACCCCCGGGAGGCGGGCGGAUACUGUCGGGCUAGAGUCCGGAAGAGGCAAGUGGAAUUCCUGGUGUAGCGGUGAAAUGCGCAGAUAUCAGGAGGAACACCGAUGGCGAAGGCAGCUUGCUGGGACGGUACUGACGCUGAGACGCGAAAAGCGUGGGGGAGCAAAACAGG
rnacentral:rRNA from 1 species